rnacentral:rRNA from 1 species
GUAGGUGGCAAGCGUUGUCCGGAAUUAUUGGGCGUAAAGCGCGCGCAGGCGGUCCUUUAAGUCUGAUGUGAAAGCCCACGGCUCAACCGUGGAGGGUCAUUGGAAACUGGGGGACUUGAGUGCAGAAGAGGAGAGUGGAAUUCCACGUGUAGCGGUGAAAUGCGUAGAGAUGUGGAGGAACACCAGUGGCGAAGGCGACUCUCUGGUCUGUAACUGACGCUGAGGCGCGAAAGCGUGGGGGGAGCGAACAGGAUUAGAUACCCUGGUAGUCCACGCCGUAAACGAUGAGUGCUAAGUGUUAGAGGGUUUCCCGCCCUUUAGUGCUGCAGCUAACGCAUUAAGCACUCCCGCCUGGGGAGUACGGUCGCAAGACUG